GAUGGGGCAAGGGCCUCACACUCCCUUAUGCAUUGAUUAGCUUAGCUGGGUGGAUUACUUAAUACGUGCUACCAGCAAGAAGCCUCAUGCUUGAGACCCGCCUCUCUGCCUCGCUUACUAAGCAGCUCCCCUCUGUCGUCACUUCCCUGAGACCAAGGCUUAGCUAGCAAUAGACAACGCUAGCAAUAGCUAUUAGCUAGCCGCGAUUGCAAUCCAAGCUAUUGACAACUCUAACAAGAGCAAUAGCAAGCACUAGCUUGAACUAGCAGUGGCCAAGACUUAGCUAGUCUCGCUUUAGACCUUACAGAGUCACUUACCAGCACUAGUUAGUACCUUAGCUAGCAAGGAAGGCAAGCAAGUUUCUUAUAGCUUGGUGGGAGUAAGCGCUUACUCUUAGUUAGGCGUUUCAUGCAUGCCGGUCUUACACAGA
rnacentral:lncRNA from 1 species